UCCCCGGUGGUCCAGUGGUUAAGACUCCAUGCUCUCUAUGCAGGGGGCACAGGUUAGAUCCCUGACUGGGGAA
rnacentral:tRNA from 1 species